AAGGAAAGCAGCUUGUAUUUCAGCAGAGGAAUUCCCAGCACCUCCGCAGAAAUAUCGCGGUCGCGGAUCGCAAUGAAGGCGCGGCCAAUACGGGUCCGGAACAGGUUGGCUGCGGCGAACACCAAUAGNNNNNNNNNNNNNGCGGUCAGUGGCACGAACAGCCAGUACAACUGGAACGGACGCACGAAAUCGUAUCCGAACAACCGCGCCGGCUGCAUGCUGAGCCCCUGCGUACCUCCAAGAAUCGACGGUCCGUUUGUGUAUAGGAAAUGCAGAAUGAACGAUGCCGCGAUGGUCGCAAUAGCGAGGUAAAGACCCUUUACGCGAAGGCU
rnacentral:misc_RNA from 1 species